AUUACAUAUAUACAAAAUCCACUGGGGUUUAUUCAUACAUGGACAUAGUAUAAUUGGGUAGAUUUUGUUACCCUUUAUUUUCCCAUGUUCUCCCCUCCUCCCUCUCUCUCUGCAUACCCUUCCUCUACUCUGUUGGACUCCCUUUUGUUUUCAUGCAAUCACCCCUUUUUUCUCUGUCUCUCUACAUUUGCAUAUGAGAAAAAAUUUUCUAUCAUUGACUUUCUAAGUCCUGCUUAUUUCAUUUAGCAUGAUGUUCUCCAGUUCCAUACAUUUACCAGAAAAUGACUAAAUUUCAUAAUUUAUGAAAAGCUUCGUUGAGUAUAUAUACCACAUUUUCUUUAUCCAUUUGUAUGUUGAGGGGAACCUAGAGAAGUUCUAUAACUUGGCUAUUGUGAACUGCACUGCUAUAAGCACUGAUGUACAUGUAUCACUAUAGUAUGUUGAUUUUAGUUCUUUUGGAUAAAUCACAAGGAAUGGGAUAGCUGGGUCAUAUGGUGGUUUCAUUUCUAGUCUUUUUGAGGAAUCUCCAUAGUGAUUUCCAAAGUGGUUGUACUAAUUUGCCAUCCUACCAAAUAUAUAUAAGUGUACCUUUCCCCAUUAUUUUCACCGUGUAUUAUUAUUUGUAUUCUUUUUUAUUGGUUCUUUUUAGUUAUGCAUGACAAUAGGAUUCAUUUUGACAUAAUUAUAAAAGCAUAGGAUGUAAUUUGUUCUAAUUCAAUCCUCAGUACUACCCCUUUCUCUCCCCCUGUUACCUUCCCUCUACUCUACCGAUCUUUCUGCUAUUUACUUAUACGUUUUUUUUAUUAGUGUAUUUUAGAUGUACAUGAUGAGAUUCACUGAGGCAUAUUUAUAUAUGUACACAGAAAAGUUAGGUCAGAUUCAUUCCACUGUCUUUCCCUAUCCCAUCUCACCUCCCUUCCCUUCAUUCCCCUUUGUAUUCUUUGUAUUCUUGAUGGCUGCCAUUCUAACUGGAGUCAGAUGAAACCUCAAGUGUAGUUUUAAUUUGCAUUUCCCUUAUUGAUAGGGAUGUUGAAUAUUUUUUCAUAUAU
rnacentral:lncRNA from 1 species